rnacentral:rRNA from 1 species
CCUACGGGAGGCAGCAGUGGGGGAUAUUGCUCAAUGGGCGCAAGCCUGAACCAGCCAAGCCGCGUGAAGGAUGACUGUUCUACGGGUUGUAAACUUCUUUUAUCAAGGAAUAAAGUCAGGCUCGUGAGCCUUAUCGAGUGUACUUGACGAAUAAGGAUCGGCUAACUCCGUGCCAGCAGCCGCGGUAAUACGGAGGAUCCGAGCGUUAUCCGGAUGUAUUGGGUUUAAAGGGUGCGUAGAGGGACUGUUAAGUCAGCGGUAAAAGCUCGGGGUUAAACCCAGACGAGCCGUUGAAAAUGGGAGUAUUGAGAUGUCGAGAGGUAGGUGGAAGGAGCAGUGUAGCGGUGAAAUGCGUAGAGAGUGCGCAGAA